UACGUAGGGGGCAAGCGUUGUCCGGAAUCAUUGGGCGUAAAGCGCGUGUAGGCGGCUUGGUAAGUCCGCUCUGAAAGCCCGGGGCUCAACCCCGGGAGGCGGGUGGAUACUGCUGGGCUCGAGUCCGGAAGAGGAGUGUGGAAUUCCCAGUGUAGAGGUGAAAUUCGUAGAUAUUGGGAAGAACACCGGUGGCGAAGGCGGCGACCUGGUCCUUGACUGACGCUGAGGCGCGAAAGCGUGGGGAGCAAAACGG
rnacentral:rRNA from 1 species